rnacentral:rRNA from 1 species
UGGGGAAUAUUGGACAAUGGGCGCAAGCCUGAUCCAGCAAUGCCGCGUGUGUGAAGAAGGCCUUAGGGUUGUAAAGCACUUUCAGUUGGGAGGAAGGGCUCAUAGCUAAUAUCUAUGAGCAUUGACGCUACCAACAGAAGAAGCACCGGCUAACUCUGUGCCAGCAGCCGCGGUAAUACAGAGGGUGCAAGCGUUAAUCGGAAUUACUGGGCGUAAAGGGUGCGUAGGCGGUUAUAUAAGUUAGAUGUGAAAGCCCUAGGCUUAACCUGGGAACUGCGUUUAAUACUGUAUAGCUAGAGUACUGAAGAGGUUAGUGGAAUUUCCAGUGUAGCGGUGAAAUGCGUAGAUAUUGGAAGGAACACCAGUGGCGAAGGCGACUAACUGGUCAGAUACUGACGCU